AAAUUGAAGAGUUUGAUCAUGGCUCAGAUUGAACGCUGGCGGCAGGCCUAACACAUGCAAGUCGAACGGUAACAGGAAGCAGCUUGCUGCUUUGCUGACGAGUGGCGGACGGGUGAGUAAUGUCUGGGAAACUGCCUGAUGGAGGGGGAUAACUACUGGAAACGGUAGCUAAUACCGCAUAACG
rnacentral:rRNA from 1 species